UACGUAGGGUGCAAGCGUUAAUCGGAAUUACUGGGCGUAAAGCGUGCGCAGGCGGUGAUGUAAGACAGAUGUGAAAUCCCCGGGCUCAACCUGGGAACUGCAUUUGUGACUGCAUAGCUAGAGUACGGUAGAGGGGGAUGGAAUUCCGCGUGUAGCAGUGAAAUGCGUAGAUAGUGCGGACGGAAGCACCGAUGGCGAAGGCAAUCCCCUGGACCUGGUACUGCGCUCAUGCGACGAAACGCGUGGGGAGCAAACGAGGAUUAGACUACCCCGUGC
rnacentral:rRNA from 1 species